rnacentral:rRNA from 1 species
GACGAACGCUGGCGGCGUGCUUAACACAUGCAAGUCGAACGGAAAGGCCCUGCUUUUGUGGGGUGCUCGAGUGGCGAACGGGUGAGUAACACGUGAGUAACCUGCCCUUGACUUUGGGAUAACUUCAGGAAACUGGGGCUAAUACCGGAUAGGAGCUCCUGCUGCAUGGUGGGGGUUGGAAAGUUUCGGCGGUUGGGGAUGGACUCGCGGCUUAUCAGCUUGUUGGUGGGGUAGUGGCUUACCAAGGCUUUGACGGGUAGCCGGCCUGAGAGGGUGACCGGCCACAUUGGGACUGAGAUACGGCCCAGACUCCUACGGGAGGCAGCAGUGGGGAAUAUUGCACAAUGGGCGGAAGCCUGAUGCAGCAACGCCGCGUGCGGGAUGACGGCCUUCGGGUUGUAAACCGCUUUCGCCUGUGACGAAGCGUGAGUGACGGUAAUGGGUAAAGAAGCACCGGCUAACUACGUGCCAGCAGCCGCGGUGAUACGUAGGGUGCGAGCGUUGUCCGGAUUUAUUGGGCGUAAAGGGCUCGUAGGUGGUUGAUCGCGUCGGAAGUGUAAUCUUGGGGCUUAACCCUGAGCGUGCCUUCGAUACGGGUUGACUUGAGGAAUUUAGGGGAGAAUGGAAUUCCUGGUGGAGCGGUGGAAUGCGCAGAUAUCAGGAGGAACACCAGUGGCGAAGGCGGUUCUCUGGGCCUUUCCUGACGCUGAGGAGCGAAAGCGUGGGGAGCGAACAGGCUUAGAUACCCUGGUAGUCCACGCUGUAAACGGUGGGUACUAGGUGUGGGGUCCAUUCCACGGGUUCCGUGCCGUAGCUAACGCUUUAAGUACCCCGCCUGGGGAGUACGGCCGCAAGGCUAAAACUCAAAGGAAUUGACGGGGCCCCGCACAAGCGGCGGAGCAUGCGGAUUAAUUCGAUGCAACGCGUAGAACCUUACCUGGGUUUGACAUGGAUCGGGAGUGCUCAGAGAUGGGUGUGCCUCUUUUGGGGUCGGUUCACAGGUGGUGCAUGCCUGUCGUCAGCUCGUGUCGUGAGAUGUUGGGUUAAGUCCCGCAACGAGCGCAACCCUUGUUCACUGUUGCCAGCACGUUAUGGUGGGGACUCAGUGGAGACCGCCGGGGUCAACUCGGAGGAAGGUGGGGAUGACGUCAAGUCCUCAUGCCCCUUAUGUCCAGGGCUUCACGCAUGCUACAAUGGCUGGUACAGAGAGUGGCGAGCCUGUGAGGGUGAGCGAAUCUCGGAAAGCCGGUCUCAGUUCGGAUUGGGGUCUGCAACUCGACCUCAUGAAGUCGGAGUCGCUAGUAAUCGCAGAUCAGCAACGCUGCGGUGAAUACGUUCCCGGG